AUACGGAGGGUGCAAGCGUUAAUCGGAAUUACUGGGCGUAAAGCGCGCGUAGGCGGCUGAUUAAGUCGGAUGUGAAAUCCCUGGGCUCAACCUAGGAACUGCAUCCGAUACUGGUCAGCUAGAGUUUUGGAGAGGUAAGUGGAAUUUCCGGUGUAGCAGUGAAAUGCAUAGAGAUCGGAAGGAACACCAGUGGCGAAGGCGACUUACUGGCCAAAAACUGACGCUGAGGUGCGAAAGCGUGGGUAGCAAACAGGAUUAGAUACCCUAGUAGUCC
rnacentral:rRNA from 1 species